rfam:Triticum urartu cultivar G1812 contig366820, whole genome shotgun sequence.
UUAGUACUACCUCCGUUUGAAAAAACUUGUCCCUCAAAUGAAUGUAUCUAGCAUCAAGUUAGUGCUAAAUAUAUCCAUUUGAUGAACAAGUUUGGGACAAGCUUUUUCGGACGAAGGGAGUACGUA